UUUUUUUUUAAGUGGUGAUUUGCCUGGUCAGGAAUUCAGGCACAUUCCUUUCCCUGGUGAACUCAAGCCAGCUGGGAGUAGAGGGCUUGCUUGACUGAUCCACGCAACUUCUGGCAGAGAAAGGGGAAGCAAGAGCAGAGAUGGCUGGGUCUGCUCCCAUGUGAAGCUGCACAGUGAGGGCUGCAGGCCCUACACUGAGGUCCCAACAGGCACCAUCUGUGAUGAUGACACCACAACCCUCAAGUGACUUCUGGAUCCUCCAAGCCCUCUGGGACUCUGGAUUUGACACAUCCUGUUGGUGACCACACCCUCCACACAACUCACCUUCACUGCCUCGGCACUGUCCCCCCACCCAAAGGUCUCCAGGAAGCAUGGCCAUGGGAAGAGGAUCCACAUGCUGGGUGCUCCUCUGAAAUUCCCAACAGGAGUGAGACAGUUGGGCCAUCAGGUGGCGGGUGCAGGAAUUGGAAUGUCUGGGUUCCAGUCCCUCUGAUCUGUGUGACUUUGGAUAAAUUCUCUAUCCACAUCCUAGACCUGUACUUCCCCAGCUCUAACAGUAAAGGUUGCGGCAAUAGCAAA